GAAAAUGUUACCUCACAAUCUAGCAUCCGUUCUUCAAAGGCUUCAGACUAAUCCAUCUGGUGAAAUGUGUGCAGUGAAGUGAAGACAAGUAGAUGGUGAUAAGUGCCUAUGUGUGCCGUGAAGAGGAAAAAUGAAGAAGAAGAAAUGUACUUUUGACUAUUGUAGGUUGAAUAAGAAUUUAUUCAAGUGGAGUUAUGAGAGAAUGUUCUCUGUAAAAUUUUUGGUCUCUUUUAUAGUAGCUUUAAAUUAAAAGUUGUAAAGAUAAGUUUAAAAUUUCUAAUAUUUGGUGGGAGUUUAAAAUUUUCAGAUGUGAAAAUUUGGUGGGGUGAAAAGUUGAAAACUUUCCUCCAAAUCCUAAGCCACGGUAAAAAGUGGCAGACCUCACAUGGGUCUUCUUUUUAAUUUUGCUUAUUAUUUGUUAAUCACAUGUGCAACUUGCAUA